rnacentral:rRNA from 1 species
AGAACGAACGCUGGCGGCAUGCCUAACACAUGCAAGUCGAACGUGAUCCAGGCUUCGGCCUGGUGAAAGUGGCAGACGGGUGAGUAACGCGUGGGCACCUGCCCUGUGGUAGGGAAUAACCGUGGGAAACUGCGGCUAAUACCCUAUGAGUCCUUCGGGAGAAAGAUUUAUCGCCAUAGGAGGGGCCCGCGUCGGAUUAGGUAGUUGGUGGGGUAACGGCCUACCAAGCCUUCGAUCCGUAGCUGGUCUGAGAGGAUGAUCAGCCACACUGGGACUGAGAUACGGCCCAGACUCCUACGGGAGGCAGCAGUGGGGAAUAUUGGACAAAUGGGGGGCAACCCUGAUCCAGCAAUGCCGCGUGGAUGAUGAAGGCCUUCGGGUUGUAAAGUCCUUUCGGCGGGGAAGAUGAUGACGGUACCGCAGAAGAAGCCCGGCUAACUUCGUGCCAGCAGCCGC